rnacentral:rRNA from 1 species
CAGCAGCCACGGUAAAACGAAGGGUGCAAGCGUUAAUCGGAAUUACUGGGCGUAAAGCGUGCGUAGGCGGUUUGUUAAGUCUGCUGUUAAAUCCCCGGGCUCAACCUGGGAAUGGCAGUGGAUACUGGCAAGCUAGAGUGUGUCAGAGGAUGGUGGAAUUCCCGGUGUAGCGGUGAAAUGCGUAGAGAUCGGGAGGAACAUCAGUGGCGAAGGCGGCCAUCUGGGACAACACUGACGCUGAAGCACGAAAGCGUGGGGAGCAAACAGGAUUAGAUACCCCUGUAGUCCCUGUCUCUUAUAC